CGAAUCCGCGCGGGAGAGUUCCGGCCACAGUGUGAGCCGGGCGCCGAAGGAGCAAGAUCCUCCCUUGAAUCUCUCAGGCCCCGUACCGCGUGGAUGAG
rfam:Streptomyces albolongus strain YIM 101047, complete genome.